GGCCGAGUGGCGGAAUUGGCAGACGCGCCGGAUUCAAAAUCCGGUAUUCGCAAGAAUGUGUCGGUUCGAGUCCGACCUCGGCUA
rnacentral:tRNA from 2 species